CUAUUUUCUUACUCAUAGUUUUCAGUCAGGCGACUGGAGCAGAGACCUGGAGGGCAAAACAUCCAUAGAACUGCAGGACAGGCCUGUCAAUUGCGUCUCAAAAAAGGCAAUAUCAACACCAUACAACAGGCCCUGCUCUCCUCACCAAGAACAACACCCGAGCCAUCACGGACAUGGAAAGGUCUUGACACCUUGCCAAGAGCUGGAUUUUUUUGGUAA